AUUGAACGCUGGCGGCAGGCCUAACACAUGCAAGUCGAACGAGUGGCGGACGGGUGAGUAAUGUCUGGGAAACUGCCUGAUGGAGGGGGAUAACUACUGGAAACGGUAGCUAAUACCGCAUUCCUUCGCAUGUGCCCAGAUGGGAUUAGCUAGUGGGUGGGGUAACGGCUCACCAAGGCGACGAUCCCUAGCUGGUCUGAGAGGAUGACCAGUAACACUGGAACUGAGACACGGUCCAGACUCCUACGGGAGGCAGCAGGGGGGAAUAUUGCACAAUGGGCGAAAGCCUGAUGCAGCCAUGCCGCGUGUAUGAAGAAGGCCUUCGGGUUGUAAAGUACUUUCAGCGGGGAGGCGUUACCAGCAGAAGAAGCACCGGCUAACUCCGUGCCAGCAGCCGCGGUAAUUC
rnacentral:rRNA from 1 species